UGCUGCUGCCUCCUUGAACUGACAACAGCUCUGACAGUGCCUUGUGCCUCUCACCAGGCCCCUUGGAACAGAGACACCCCCAGCCACCCGAACCCUGACGGUGGGCCCCCUGUCCCAUGGUCCCGUGGCCCUCUGUGUCCUGACAUGCCAGGCAGCAGCAGCACACGCGUAGCCCCAACAGCCCAGCCAUGGAGCAGCAAGCCUGGAUACUGAGGGGCUUCCUGGCUCAAGUGGAGAGAAAGGAGGCUGAGGAGGAGGAAGCGGAGAGUGGCUUCACAGGGGAGUUCUCAAGGCUCAAACGCCAGUCCACCAAGUACCGCACUGACAAAACCUACCCCACCAAAGUAGCGGAGAAGCAGGAGAAUGUGAAGAAGAACCGAUACAAGGACAUUGUUCCCUUUGACCACAGCAGAGUGAAGCUGUCCCUUACCACCUCUAAGAAUGACAAUGACUACAUCAAUGCCAGCUUCAUCAAGGGAGUGUCAGGGGCCAGGGCCUACAUUGCCACUCAGGGCCCUCUGCCCCACACCGUGCUGGACUUCUGGAGGAUGCUCUGGGAGUACAACAUAGAGGUCAUAGUGAUGGCUUGCAGGGAGUAUGAGAUGGGCAGGAAAAAGUGUGAGCGCUACUGGCCGGAGAAACAAGAGGAGCCAUUUGUUUGUGACCCGUUUACUAUUUACUGCGACUCAGAGGAAAGUAAAGGGGACUAUGUGUGCAGAAACUUGAGGGUGACCUAUCGUAAUUGGUGCCGGACCCUGAGACAGCUGCAUUAUAUCAACUGGCCCGACCAUGGGGUCCCUGACACCAUCCCUCCCAUCCUGGAGCUGCUGCAAGAGAUGCGAUCCUACCAGGCCCAUGGGGAUGUGCCCAUCUGCAUACACUGCAGUGCUGGCUGUGGAAGAACAGGAGCACUGUGUGCCAUCGACUACACCUGGAACCUGGUGAAAACACAGCUGCUCAAAGAAGACUUCAGCAUCUAUGACCUGGUUCAGGACAUGAGAACACAGAGGCCUUCUGUGGUUCAGACCAAGGAACAGUACGAGCUGGUGUACAGAACCAUCAAGUUCCUGUUGGAGAAGUAUCUGCAGUCCAUGGCACCAGCACAGCCUUCCUGCACAGAGGAGGUGCCAGCGGCCCCCUCACCCCCUACAGCCAGUGACAGUGAGCUCUCUGACCUCAGUGAGGCGUCUGAAGCUGAACAGGAACCAGAACCUGAGCCACAGCAUCAAAUGGAACCACAGACAGAGCACAGAGAGAGAAAUGCCUCCAUAUUGUGUUGCAGGCACCCAGAUAGGGAGGAGCCUGAUGGGAUAUCCAAUCACGUCUUACCAGUGGCUUUCUCUGCCUCAGCAGCGGUGCAUGAUGGUGACCCACUGUCUGACUCGGCUACGUGCUCCCCCUCAGUCAUCCUCAAUGCCCUGAGAGCCAGGGACAGGCAGAGGGAACAGCAGAGACCAAACUCCCUACCAACACAGACUAUUAACCAGAAACCACAACCCCUACAGAUACAGACUAAUAGCAUGUCCAUGAACCAGAGACCACCAUACCCACUACCGACAAAGCCCGAUACAUUGCCCACCAGCCAGGCCCUGAGACAAGAGCCCAGUCUCCGCAUCCCCAUCAUAACCUCUCAGGCACUCAUGACUCAGGAAUUAUGUCAGAGAGCCAUGGAGCAAAAGAAGGUGGAGAGUGAUGGAGAGAUCACCCGACUGGUACCACCAGUGCUCUCUGCAGUUUCCAUCUCCAACCCCCUCUGUCUCACUGUGGAGGACCUCUACUUUUUACCUGACUUUUCAAUGACCUCACCCCUGGCUGCUGAGGCUCCCAGAGGUGCUGAUAAUGAGGAGCUGGCUCCUCUGAGCAAGUUGACAGAGAACCCCUGUUUCAAUGGUUCAAGUAUAACUCUUAAAGACCAGGCGAUGGAACUGCCAGCCCUUGUCAUCACAAACGCUGCCGCAGGUGCACUUGUACCUUUCUCGGAUGAAGACAGUCCACCUCCAUUACCUGAGAGAACCCCUGAAUCAUAUGUGCUGGCUGCUGGAACAGAGCAUCCUGAUAACAUCUCUAAACCUGAGAGGUUAGAGGUCAUCAUCCCUCCUAAUGCUGCAGCUGAAGCCCUCAGGGGGAACGGUGAGUGGAGGGCCUUUGAAGGCCCUCAUAAUACUCUUCAUAAGCUCUUCUACAAAAGCAUUCAAACACAUUUCUUCUCUACCGCACUCCCGAAGGGAGUGCCCCCUCGCCUAUCCCCCCACUGCCAGAGAGAACGCCAGAAUAAUUUGUGUUGGCCAACAAUUCCGUGUCACCCCAGGAUACAGUAUCACCCCCAGUUACAUUGCCUCCCCCGGUUAGAUAUUCUGUUCCUGCUCCCUGUACAUCAGUAAACCUUCCUCCUCCCCCUCCACCUCCCUAUCCUCUGGCCCCUUCUCACUCACCUCCAGGCUCAGAUAAUCUGACUCCCCCUCUACCUGAGAGAACCCCAGAAUCCUUCUUCCUGGUCACUCAAGAAGUUGAUCAGAACAGUGCCCCCUGCCAGAGUCAGAGCAACAGCCAGACCACAUCCACACAGCAGAGGAUCGGUACGUCCUCAGAGUGGGCAGGGAACUCCCAACCCAAAAGAUUACUGGAUGGAAUCAUGAAUCGGAGCAAGGUAACAGACAUUGACAGACUCUGGGUGCUGUAGCUGUCAAGACUUUAAGGAGGUGUGAUAGUCACCCUCAUCGAAAUGAUACUUCUAGAAUGUAUUAUAGUACUAUCCCCCAGUAAUUCAAUUUCUAUGGUCAGUAGAGACUCUUACUCUUGUGUCAUGUGUAUUUAAUGGGUACAUCUAGCUAGUACAGGAUGUUGCCACAUACCCCUUAGUGUCAUGUGUAUUUAAUGGGUACAUCUAGCUAGUACAGGAUGCUGCCACACACCCCUUAGUGUCAUGUGUAUUUAAUGGGUACAUCUAGCUAGUACAGGAUGCUGCCACACACCCCUUAGUGUCAUGUGUAUUUAAUGGGUACAUCUAGCUAGUACAGGAUGUUGCCACACACCCCUUAGUGUCAUGUGUAUUUAAUGGGUACAUCUAGCUAGUACAGGAUGCUGCCACACACCCCUUAGUGUCAUGUGUAUUUAAUGGGUACAUCUAGCUAGUACAGGAUGCUGCCACACACCCCUUAGUGUCAUGUGUAUUUAAUGGGUACAUCUAGCUAGUACAGGAUGUUGCCACACACCCCUUAGUGUCAUGUGUAUUUAAUGGGUACAUCUAGCUAGUACAGGAUGUUGCCACACACCCCUUAGUGUCAUGUGCAUUUAAUGGGUACAUCUAGCUAGUACAGGAUGUUGCCACACACCCCUUAGUGCCAUGUGUAUUUAAUGGGUACAUCUAGCUAGUACAGGAUGUUGCCACACACCCCUUAGUGUCAUGUGUAUUUAAUGGGUACAUCUAGCUAGUACAGGAUGCUGCCACACACCCCUUAGUGCCAUGUGUAUUUAAUGGGUACAUCUAGCUACUACAGGAUGCUGCCACACACCCCUUAGUGCCAUGUGUAUUUAAUGGGUACAUCUAGCUAGUACAGGAUGUUGCCACACACCCCUUAGUGUCAUGUGUAUUUAAUGGGUACAUCUAGCUAGUACAGGAUGUUGCCACACACCCCUUAGUGCCAUGUGUAUUUAAUGGGUACAUCUAGCUACUACAGGAUGCUGCCACACACCCCUUAGUGUCAUGUGUAUUUAAUGGGUACAUCUAGCUAGUACAGGAUGCUGCCACACACCCCUUAGUGUCAUGAACUGAUCUUUACUAAAUGCCCAUUUUUGUUCUCCUCGUGAUUCAUGCAAUGGCUCAUAUGUUCCCAUUGUUGUUAAUACAUGAGUACAUUAAUACAACACUCUAAACUGUUCCCUUAGAGUGUCCACGCAAAGAGUUCACUGAAAGGUAAGCUCUUUUCUCAAUAGUGACUGAGAAAAGCCAUCUGUGACUGAGAAAAGCCAUCUGUUUUUGUCUUUGUUUUUUCUUCUACUACCAGUUCAUCUGUCUGUUUGAUGUUAACAAGGAAAAAGUCAACGUCAAAUGGUUGCUCUUGGCUUUGCUCUCUCACACAAUAAAAGGCACAAAUAGAAAUCACUGAAAAACAUCAUUAUACACACUCAGUGGCCUUGUGGUUAGUGUCUGCCCUAAAAUUGGAAGGUUGGGAGUUCGAUCACCGAGUCGUACACAAGACUGUAAAUAAUGGAACACGAUGUGUCUCUGGAGAUCGAUUGGGUAAGGCCUUGCGAUCGACUAGUGUCCUGUCUAGGGUGGUGUACUUUUAUAUCAAGCUACCUCAUGCGACACAAACAAGAUAUAGCGAGAAAUACUAAUGUUGGCUUUUUGCAGGCACUAAUUCCGCCGUGGUUCGUUGUACAAAGCCUAUGGAGAAAAUUAAUGGCGUUUUUGGAGGGUUUUUGGAUAAACGUUGAAUAUAAGUUUUGUGGUAACACAGACUUAGAAGAUCUUAUACGUUUUGUUCUAUGAGAAUCUUCAUCAGCUAACAUAUCUUUAUGUGAAUUUGGAAGCAUUUAUUCAGUUUAAUGAAACACAAAACACAAAGGCUUCAUAAUGGUCAUGUUAAUUGACUAUUACUAUUAUCUCACAGAACAAAACGUAUCAGAUCUCCUGAGCCUGUGUUAACCUCAGACCUUAUUUUCGACAUUUGUUCCAAAACACCAUUAUUUCGCCAUAAAUGUUUCACAUAGGAAUGGCUGAAUGAACCAGAGGUAACUCAUUUCUGGGUUAUAGGACUACAAGCUGGCGAGCUCUAUAGGAUCCUUUAUCCUAUGGGCCAUUCUGGCUCGUGCAAGGCUACUUACUCUGAUUGUAAUUGAUGACAUGAUAAUGAGAACUAAUGUCAGAAGUAGUCCUUCCUUGAGCUAUCUGAUGUUUGAGAGAACAUACAGUACUUUACAAUUAGUCUGUCUACAUUUUCUCUACAGAGCCCCUGACUACUGUUCCUCUGGUUGCUCAAGUCGUUGUGGCUUUAGGAGGAAGUGCUGAAAUGAAGCUUCAGCAGCCUGUGGACAACAGCACCUCAACCAGCACUGGGACUACUGAAGACGAAUCAGACAAAAACAGUGGGAAGGCCUUGUCUAGAACAAAGAGCCUGAAGUUAUUCAAACUCAGACAGAAACCAAAGUCUGCCCCUCCACCAGUACCAACCCACUCUGGACCAUCUCCUCCUUAUGGUACCUCCACCUCAUCAUCAGUGUUCACAUUUGGAUUUGGGACUCGUUUUGGGAAGCCUAAAGGGCCAAGGAGUCAUCCUGAGACGUGGGUGUAAGACAGCCAGUCAACAAAGCUGGCCACUGUCCUCAGAUCACAGGGCUGGAACCCUGCAUGUGGCUACUAGCCACUCAACUGGACUAGGGAUGGUCCCUAGACAACUUUUGACAUUGUGAAGGAAGAGCAUCAUUCCAAGAAGAAUCAUGUAGCUUUCUCCCUGUGUUCUGAGACGACAUGAACACUGUCUCGCAAACUGCUCUCACGGCCCAAUGAUCAACCUCGGAUUAGCUUUAAAUUGGAGCACCUGCUAUUCAUGACAAAUUGAUCGUACUGUAGUUAUUUAUCCGUGCCUGUAGGGAGAACUUGUGCCUCUGAAAUGUGGUGGAAGGAUGCAAUCAAUUGUAGGCAAAGGAUGGAUGGAAAGAAUGGAAGGAUGAGUUGAUAAAUGUUAGAGGGCUACUUUUGGCUAUUUUGCCUGAUAAAUACAGUAAGGUACUUUGAAUAGUUGGUAGCACGUUACUUAAUACAUGUUACCAAAUAUUUUUCUAUGCUGAUGUUUAUUUGUUAUUGUUUGUAUAGGCUCCUUCUGAUCCAGACAAAAUCCAGAUCUACACCUGGACUGUACAGAGUGAUGAACUGUUUUUAAGAGUAAUAUAUUUGUACUGGUAUUAUUUUUCAUGGUGGUGUGAGAUAAGCAGACAGGUCUGUAUUGUGCAAACAUCACAUUCAUUGUUGUAACUUGGUGGAUGUGUUUUCUAUAUGGGCUAUCAUUUAAAAAGUCAAGAAAAUACAUAUUGCUCUAAAUUGA